rnacentral:lncRNA from 1 species
GCUCUUGUGGUUUUCCUUUUAAUAAAGCUCCAAGCCACGUCCAAGUCACGUAAAUGCUUCCGCACCACGUUCUCAUGUCUAUUCCGUAGCUCCCACGUUAGUUCUGCUUGCUUCAUAACAUCUUCAUUGCCAACUCCUAACUCGCACGCAAACUGCAUGGAUGCCGCUUUUAUUAACCUGUCAGCUAUGCAUUUAAAUCUCUCAGCUCUUGGUUCAGCGUCCGUGUCCAAUUCCCGCACCUUACCA